AUUGAACGCUGGCGGCAUACUUUACACAUGCAAGUCGAACGGUAACAGGCCGCAAGGUGCUGACGAGUGGCGAACGGGUGAGUAAUGCAUCGGAACGUGCCCAGUCGUGGGGGAUAACUACUCGAAAGAGUAGCUAAUACCGCAUACGAUCUAUGGAUGAAAGCGGGGGACCGUAAGGCCUCGCGCGAUUGGAGCGGCCGAUGUCGGAUUAGGUAGUUGGUGGGGUAAAGGCUCACCAAGCCCACGAUCUGUAGCUGGUCUGAGAGGACGACCGGCCACACUGGGACUGAGACACGGCCCAGACUCCUACGGGAGGCAGCAGUGGGGAAUUGUGGACAAUGGGCGCAAGCCUGAUCCAGCAAUGCCGCGUGCAGGAAGAAGGCCUUCGGGUUGUAAACUGCUUUUGUACGGAACGAAACGGCUCUGGUUAAUACCCGGGGCUAAUGACGGUACCGUAAGAAUAAGCACCGGCUAACUACGUG
rnacentral:rRNA from 1 species